GCAUCGGUGGUGUAGUAGUAGCACGCCUUCCCGGCAUGGGUGAGACCCGGGUUCAACUGCCGUCUGAUGCG